AGUGAACGCUGGCGGUAGGCCUAACACAUGCAAGUCGAACGGCAGCACAGUAAGAGCUUGCUCUUACGGGUGGCGAGUGGCGGAUGGGUGAGGAAUACAUCGGAAUCUACUUUUUCGUGGGGGAUAACGUAGGGAAACUUACGCUAAUACCGCAUACGACCUACGGGUGAAAGCAGGGGAUCUUCGGACCUUGCGCGAUUGAAUGAGCCGAUGUCGGAUUAGCUAGUUGGCGGGGUAAAGGCCCACCAAGGCGACGAUCCGUAGCUGGUCUGAGAGGAUGAUCAGCCACACUGGAACUGAGACACGGUCCAGACUCCUACGGGAGGCAGCAGUGGGGAAUAUUGGACAAUGGGCGCAAGCCUGAUCCAGCCAUACCGCGUGAGUGAAGAAGGCCUUCGGGUUGUAAAGCCCUUUUGUUGGGAAAGAAAAGAAGCAGGUUAAUACCCCGCUGUUCUGACGGUACCCAAAGAAUAAGCACCGGCUAACUUCGUG
rnacentral:rRNA from 1 species